rnacentral:rRNA from 1 species
GACGAACGCUGGCGGCGUGCCUAAUACAUGCAAGUAGAACGCUGAAGGAGGAGCUUGCUCUUCUGGAUGAGUUGCGAACGGGUGAGUAACGCGUAGGUAACCUGCCUGGUAGCGGGGGAUAACUAUUGGAAACGAUAGCUAAUACCGCAUAAGAGUAGAUGUUGCAUGACAUUUGCUUAAAAGGUGCAAUUGCAUCACUACCAGAUGGACCUGCGUUGUAUUAGCUAGUUGGUGGGGUAACGGCUCACCAAGGCGACGAUACAUAGCCGACCUGAGAGGGUGAUCGGCCACCCUGGGACUGAGACACGGCCCAGACUCCUACGGGAGGCAGCAGUAGGGAAUCUUCGGCAAUGGACGGAAGUCUGACCGAGCAACGCCGCGUGAGUGAAGAAGGGUUUCGGAUCGUAAAGCUCUGUUGUAAGAGAAGAACGAGUGUGAGAGUGGAAAGUUCACACUGUGACGGUAUCUUACCAGAAAGGGACGGCUAACUACGUG